GACGAACGCUGGCGGCGCGCUUAACACAUGCAAGUCGAACGGAAAGGCCUGCUUUCCCUUGUGGAUUGCGGGUACUCGAGUGGCGAACGGGUGAGUAACACGUGAGUGAUCUGCCCCCAACUUGGGUAUAAGCCUGGGAAACUGGGUCUAAUUCCCGAUAGGACUGCAGGGUGGUGCCUGUGGUGGAAAACGAUUUUCUAGUGGUUGGGGAUGAGCUCGCGGCCUAUCAGCUUGUUGGUGGGGUAAUGGCCUACCAAGGCGGCGACGGGUAGCCGGCCUGGGAGGGUGGACGGCCACAUUGGGACUGAGAUACGGCCCAGACUCCGACGGGAGGCAGCAGUGGGGAAUAGUGCACAAUGGGCGGAAGCCUGAUGCAGCGACGCCGCGUGGGGGAUGACGGCCUUCGGGUUGUAAACUCCUUUCGACCGCGAGGAAGCCACCUGGUUGGAAGGGUGGUGACGGUAGUGGUAGAAGAAGCACCGGCUAACUACGUG
rnacentral:rRNA from 1 species